rnacentral:rRNA from 1 species
UGGGGAAUUUUGGACAAUGGGCGAAAGCCUGAUCCAGCAAUGCCGCGUGUGUGAAGAAGGCCUUCGGGUUGUAAAGCACUUUUGUCCGGAAAGAAAUCCUUGGCUCUAAUACAGUCGGGGGAUGACGGUACCGGAAGAAUAAGCACCGGCUAACUACGUGCCAGCAGCCGCGGUAAUACGUAGGGUGCAAGCGUUAAUCGGAAUUACUGGGCGUAAAGCGUGCGCAGGCGGUUUGCUAAGACCGAUGUGAAAUCCCCGGGCUCAACCUGGGAACUGCAUUGGUGACUGGCAGGCUAGAGUAUGGCAGAGGGGGGUAGAAUUCCACGUNUAGCAGUGAAAUGCGUAGAGAUGUGGAGGAAUACCGAUGGCGAGGCAGCCCCCUGGGCAAUACUGACGCUCAUGCACGAAAGCGUGGGGAGCAAACAGGAUUAGAUACCCUGGUAGUCCACGCCCUAAACGAUGUCAACUAGUUGUUGGGGAUCAUUUCCUUAGUAACGUAGCUAACGCGUGAAGUUGACCGCCUGGGGAGUACGUCGCAAGAUUAAAACUCAAAGGAAUUGACGGGGUCAUAGCUG